UACGGAGGAUGCAAGCGUUAUCCGGAUUCAUUGGGUUUAAAGGGUGCGCAGGUGGGCUUGUAAGUCAGUGGUGAAAUGCUGCCGCUUAACGGUAGAAUUGCCAUUGAUACUGUGAGUCUUGAGUAUGGUUGAGGUAGGCGGAAUGUGCAGUGUAGCGGUGAAAUGCAUAGAUAUUGCACAGAACUCCGAUUGCGAAGGCAGCUUACUAAGCCAUUACUGACGCUGAGGCACGAAAGCGUGGGGAGCGAACAGGAUUAGAUACCCUGGUAGUCCACGCCGUAAACGAUGUUCACUCGCUGUUUGCGAUACACAGCAAGCGGCUGAGCGAAAGCAUUAAGUGAACCACCUGGGGAGUACGAUCGCAAGGUUGAA
rnacentral:rRNA from 1 species